AUAUAUAUAUAUAUAUAUAUAUAUGUAUAAAAACGUGCCACUAAAUACGGACUAUUUAAGAAUCGCAGAAGCGGGUCGUUGGCUAAACGUCUCUCUUUUCUUAACGAGCCUAACGAGCUGUAUCGGCAAUGUGCAUGAGAAUAUUACGUUAGAACAGAGUAUAAUUUAAUUCCAACUAACUAUAAAAGAGAGAGAGAGAGAGAGAGAGAGAGAGAGAGAGAAACACUACGGUAUUAUUCUGUCUACCCGGAAGAUUCUUUUGGAUGUAUGACCAUAUUUGGCUCGGUUUCACCGAUCUCUAAAUCGUUAUCUCGAGUCUGAUAUCGCGUUGCGAGAAUGAUUAUAAUACGAUAACGCGCGAAGUCAACAAGGGAGAGGAGAGUUUGGAUGAUGUUAGAGUCUUAAUAAGCUAUGCCCUCACUGGAGUAACAACGAGCAACUUUUCGUUGCUUAUUUGUUGCUAAAUGUUUCAAAAUAGUUUGACAUAUAUGUCAACUUGCGACAAAAGUUUGUCCAUACUGAAGCAACAUAAUUACAAAAACAUUUGAGUUUUAUUCCUUCGAAUAGAAACAUGCAGCAACUUUUGUUGCUAGCAACAAAAACAGUAAAAAACUUUAUAGCCGCCUCCUCGCUGCAGCAACAGCAAGCAACUUUUUUAAAUUUCUCUUUUUAAGUUUUUUAAAAAAGUUGCUACUUGUUGCUGUUGAAAGUUUCUUACUGUUUCUACUGCUAGCAACGAAAGUUGCUGCUUAUUGCGUGUUUCCAUUCGAAGGAUCAAAUAUAAUGUUCCUAUAAUUAAGUUGCUUCAGUAUAGACAAAAUGUUAUUGCAAGUUGACAUGUGUCAAAUUAUUUUGAAACAUUUAGCAACAAAAAGUUGUUGCUCCAGUGAGGACGCAGCUUUAGGAUUCGGCCUUCAGCAUCUAGCCAUCAAGAUAGACAAACUGCAACGCGUUCGUAUACAUCAUCGCGUUCUUGGCUCUCUUUUCAGAGGCCGCACUCUUGUGUUGUGAGAGUCAAGGAUUCGAAACGCGGUCACGGUUCGAUGAGCUGGAUGUACAUGGCCAAAAAUGGCUAUUUUGCUCGCUAUUUGUAUUUCAUUACUAUUCGUGUGUCAUUAUCGCGCGCAUGUAUUUUUUUUCUCGCGGCUUACGAUUAUCGAAUCUCGAAUGUCUCGCACGGAAAACGACGUAAAUUUCUUUAAGAAGUAAAUUUUUCGAAGAUCCGAAGAUUAUAGAGUGCGAUGUGUCCUCGAUGCAUACGAUGAUGAAGUAGGCCGGAUACAUCUGGGAAUUGACGGCGCAUAGAAAGGCGGAUUUUUUUUUUUUGCCUCCCUGGAAACGCAAUUUAGUGUUUAGCAUAUAGACGCUAACUGAUCGAGUACUCUGGUACCCUAUUACUCUUACUUUCGAGACAGCUCUUAUUUAGGAAAAAAAAAAAUACGAAGCUAUACGCACAACUUUCUUGACUUUUACUAUUUAGAAAUUCGAAAUGUCAUUUCGAAAAUGUUUUCGCUGUCUGCAGAAAAGUCUAUUCCGAAAUCUUUUGUUGCUAAAAAUGACUAGAAAUAUUCGAAGAUUGUUUUAUACCGAGAAUUUAUACGACUUAUUUUUUCAAUUGUUUAUCAUUGUUUGCCGAGCUGUCAGUCGUAACGAAUAACUUGAUAAGUAAUCAGCUGAUUGCUGCAGUACAGUGUUUUAAUGAAAGUCGAUAAGUAAGAAUUGUGAAAUGAAUGGCUAGAUAUCAAGUAUAUACAUAGGUAUAUUGUACAACUAUACAUUACAUGUUAUACAGCUCGUGCGAAAAGAGGAUUUGCCAUCUUGAAGUCGAUGUCGAAUAGCCGAUAAACGAGAAGGAAAAAAAGAACGAUGAUAGAACGAGCAGGAACGUAACAAAAGCUCCAUCUCUCUCUUUCUGUCCCUUUGUAAAAAUAAUUUUCAAUAAAUAUGUAUAAUUGAAAAAUUUAAAUAAUGCAACUCUCGUGGAAUUAAAGAAUCGCUGUAUUAUACUAUUUAUUGUACAAACUACUUUUAUGUAUAGUAUUAAUACAGUUCCCAAGCUCGAGAUUGUGGUAGAAGAAUCGUCUGAAAAUUUGCAUCGCUUUCUCCUCAUAUGCGGUUAAUUAAUGUAUACGUACAAUUAAAAUCUCGCGUAUAUUUACAAGUGCGUUGAACUUUUGGAAACGUGCGAAUUGGAAACGAGAUUCCGGCAAUAUUGGACGUACAUAUAUAUAUGUACAUAUAACGUGUCAUCGAAAUUAAAGGGAGAGAAUUUUAAUCUCGAGUUCUCAAUUCUCGACAUUUUCGACAUUUUCGUUGGCCAGUCUCAUAUCGAAAUAUCAUUAUUUUUAAUAUAAUUUAUUUUAAUACGAUUUAUUUUAAGCUUGUAGGAGUCGCUUAUUCGAGUUUCUUUUCGCUUCGGAUUUUUUAAAAGAAUUUAUACAGAGUCGCUGAAUCGCUGAAAGUAUCACUUAUUUCGAACGUAUAUAUAUAAAUUCAGCGUAUGAUAAUGAUAUCUCGGAUGAUUUCUCGGCGAAUGGAUACUCUCUCGGAGGCACGAAAAAGUGGAUUGGUUCGGUUUAGAUAGCGGUCGAAGGAGGCCAUCUCGGAGGGAAGGAGGAAGAUCGACCCAGAAGAAAACCUGCUUCCAGUCGUGUGACACCUGUCUCCCCCGUUACUUAUACAGGCAUCCCAGUAAGAAUGCAAAACGAUGAUGUAAGGCGGCACGAUAAGUAAGAUACGAGUGUCGCAGCUUGUCUCAGCUUUAUGGUGUUUGGUGGUCGUGGAGAAAUCGAUGAGAGACGUCUGCAGCGGGUACCACGCCCAAAGCGAGGGAGGGUGAAGGUGCACCGGAACGAACCCCAUGCAGAGAUGCUCGUGAAACGUUUCAUAUAUUGCCGUUACCCAUCGAAAAUGACAUACAAUAUGUGUAUAUCUGUCUAACCUCGACCUACAACAUUUACGAAUGACUCGACCUAGUCCAAUCAACUAUCUAAGGGGCUCUUUUUUUUCUCCGCAAUAGGAAGAGACUCUGAAUCAGUCAUCGUCUUGGAAUAAAAUUUAAGUCUAUCUAUAACCUGACGUGAAACCAUUUUUUUUCAAACAAGUCUAUUGAAAAAUUUUAUUUUAAUUGAAUUGUUAAAAAAAUUGUAUUAAGCUCUUUUUUUCUCCGCAAUAGGAAGAGACUCCGAAUCAAUUACCAUCUUGGAAUAAAAUUUAAGUCUAUCUA